AGGUUUUCUAUGAAAGGAUAUACCACGUAGGUAAAGUCGGGGGCUAAGACUAGAUUUAAUAUGUAGUCGAUGAAUAAAAGGGUUAAAUUUCCUUUACCAUAAUAUAUAAUUUAAACAAAUAGUGACCUAUAAUUUUUUAUAUAUUUAAAUAUAUAGUUUAUAAUAUACUAAAGAAAUAUAGCUAGAAAAAUGUAUAUGUUAUAUAUAUAUUAUGCCUGUACCAAAACUGACACAAGUAAGCAAGUAUAACUAUACUAAGGAGUACGAAAUAACUUUCUCUAAGGAACUCGGCAAAAUAAUCCUGUAACUUCGGGAGAAAGGAUGCCCAAAGGGCUGCAAUGAAAAGAUCCAAGCGACUGUUUAUCAAAAACACAAGUCUCCGCUAAAUUUGAUUAUAAUGUAAGGGGGCUGACACCUGCCCAGUGCUGGUAAGUUAAAAAAAAUAUUUUUAAUAUAAGUAUUUUUAUAAGCUCCAGUAAACGGCGGCUGUAACUAUAACGGUCCAAAGGUAGCGAAAUUCCUUGUCGGGUAAGUUCCGACCCGCACGAAAGGUGUAACGACUUGGAUGCUGUCUUGGAGAAAGAUUCGGUGAAAUAGGAAUGUCUGUGAAGAUACGGACUAUCUACAUUUGGACAGAAAGACCCUAUGAAGCUUUACUAUAUUUUGAAAUUAAAAAUAAAAUAUAUUUGUGUAGAAUAAGUGGGAAACUAAUUAUUUUGUUUAUCUUGAAAUACCACUCUUAUAUAUUUUAUUUUUUUAUUAUAAUAUUGUUAACCAAUUAUAAAAAAAUUUCAAAAAGAUAGUUUGACUGGGGCGGUAGCCUCCUAAAUAGCAACGGAGGUGUACAAAGGUCUUUUUUUAAUUUAAAAAAUUUUUUAAAUUAAAACUAUAAAGGGGUAAAAGGCUUGAUUGUAAGAGUUACUACUCGAGCAAGGACAAAAGUCGGUCUUAAUGAUCCGAUAGUUCUUAGUGGAAAGGCUAUCGCUU
rnacentral:rRNA from 1 species